UAAGCUCCAAACCAACGUUAUUGGCAACAAGUCAGUUUGGGUCUUGUACGGUUUGCUCAAAAUCUCGUCGGUUUGGUCUCACCUUCUCGAACUUAAUGAGCUAGGGAGAAGCGGAGAGUUUCCGGGUGCUACCUGGUUCGGGAGCUUGCUGCGACGGACGGCGACGGGUGAGUUGGCUUCCGCAGAAGGUCGAGACGAUUCAGACGAACCGCCGGCGAAGGGGGAGAAAAUCUCUCACUCUCGGUCUCUCUCUCCGAAUGUACCCUUCCGAGAAGUACCCCUCUCACUCGCUCCUCUCUCGCUUCUAUAAGCACCGGCGCGCAUGGCCUCCUGCCACGCCAGCCAUUGCUUGCCGGUCUCCCCCCGACCACCAACUCUGGCUCUUUUUUGCAGAAUGCCUAAGGGAAAGUGAGGGAGAGGAAGAGAAG
rnacentral:lncRNA from 1 species